CCUGAUUUUGAUUCAGAAGAUCUAGAUUUGAGCCCAGCUCUACCUCUUACUAGUUUUGUGUCUGUGGGCAAGACACCUAGAUUCCCUGGACUAGAGUUUCGGCAUUUAUAAAAUUGGGAUAAUGAUGCCUUACUAUACGCAUUAUCCUGCUGUGUGAGGGUUGAAGGAUAUAUGUAUUUUGUAAACUAUAACAAAGGGGUUAGUUAUCCAUGACUAAUCUAUAAACAUAGAUUCUAUUACUAUAGACCAUAAAAAAGGGGUCACUAAGCCAUUGUCUAGCAGGAAUAAUAAUUAAUAUGGGGAAUUUUCUUUUAGUUUCUGUGUAUUUGUAUGGAGAAGGUUGUACUUGUAAGCCCAAGAAAAACUUUUAGUCCCUAUGUCAAGACCUGAUCAAAUUAAUAAUGUACCAUAACUGCCCAGGUACCUAGGAUGGUAUUCUCAAAUUAUCUGAAAAUAAUCUGCAACCAAAGGAAAUGAGCUGAAAUGGUUCUCUUGCUCAAAUCAACCAGGACUCCAUUUCACUCCUACAAGUUCACCAGCAGCUCAAACCUUCAUGGACGUCCUUUACACCAGCUUCUGCCUGUUCACUGGUGGCGUUGGAACCUGGCUGAAUCGUCAAAAGGGGACGCCUUGAGAGUUUCAAGCAGAACCUCAAUGAAGUUCUGCUACCUGCAGUCCUAAGCCUGUGAAUCUGGUAGCCAUGGGAGUGUGCCACUCAGAUCUCUCUUCAAGAGAACCUGCUGCACAGAGUGCAGUUAUUGCCCUCAGCCUUCUGCUGCACCUUUGGGAUCCACUGCAAUGUUCACACCAAGGCCACACCAUCCCUGGUUGCUCCAGCCAGUGACUGAACCUGGCAGGAAACUAUAGCUACGCCAUUCAUGCCCCAUUCGGGACUCCUCCGGUAGGUAGUCUUUGUUCUAGGCACGCCCCCCCCCCCCCCAACCUGGUCA
rnacentral:lncRNA from 1 species